ensembl:lncRNA
GCAGUACAUUUAAUAUCACAACCUGGAUAUUGAUGUUGAACAAUCAAGAUAGGACAUUUCUCUCACUACAAAGACCUCAUCUCCACCCUUUUUGGCCAUGCCUCCUUCUCCCUCUCCCCACAACUGCAGCAACCAUUAGUCUGCCCUGCAAGCCUGUGACUGUUGCCUAAGCACGGCAGUAACCUUCGGGAUCAGCUUGGUUUAUGAAGCUUCAGGGUGUGUGUGUGAGUGUGUGUGUGUGUGGUGUGUGUGUGAGUGAGUGUGUGUGGUAUGUGGUGUGUGUGUGUGUGGUGUGUGUGUGGUGUGUGUGGUGUGUAUAGUGUGUGUGUGUGUAUAGUGUGUGUGUAUGUGGGUGUGGGUGUGUGUGGUGUGUUUUAACCACCUCCCCUGCAGUGGCAAUUCAAGGCCUAGGAGUGCUGCAGUUUAACCCCUUAUGGUUGUGACUUGAUGGUUGUUGCUGGGCUUUGACUGUGACAGAUAAAGCUGCUGUACACAGUCAUGUUGCAGUUUUUGCAUGAGUCUAUGUUUAUUUUUCUUGGGAUAGAAUGGCCACUAGUAAAAUUGUGGACUACACUGUAAUUCUGUAAAUGAUUAUUUUUCAAGGAGAGUAUCUACAUUUUUGUGGAUUUUUAUAUCAACUGCAUUGGCUAAUGAUUUGAAAACAUAGAGGCUCUCUUAAAUUAUUUGUAGUUAAAUAGAAGAACACAUUGUCUCAGAAACUUGGCUUUGCUCUCUCAUCCUUAGUGCCACUGAGAUGGCCUAUCUCUCUUGGCAUGGAAGGGGUGCAGGCUGCUGAGAGGGUGCUGUGCAGGCCACAGGUCACCCAGGGAAAUUUGGGGGAGUUUUCUAGGUUUAACAGAGACUGGACAUCAGAGCUGCACUGUGGCGUCUGGAUCUGCAGAUCCCACUUCAUCCUUUCUACUUCACGUCAGAAUUACCCACACCGUGUCAGGUUGGUGGCGCUAUGGGAGGUGCUCGCUUAUUUAUUUAUUUAUUCAUUCAUUCAUUCAUUCAUUCAUUCAUUCAUUUAUUUAUUUGGAGCUGGGGACUGAACCCAGGGCCUUGCGCUUGUUAGGCAAGCGCUCUACCACUGAGCUAAAUCCCCAACCCCCGGGAGGUGCUCUUUUAAUUCAGCUGUGCACUUAGAGAGAGAACUAAAGAAGUAAAAGUUAUCCUUUUUAGGCCACAGUCCCCAAUAAAUGUAGCUACUUUACACAAUGCUUAAUGAAAGAAAAAGCUCCAAUUCCCAGCCCUUGUGGGAAUUAUCCUGACUGUAUUUUACUUAUUGAGAUAUAAUAAUAUCUGGCAGUCCCAUAUAUAAUAUUUUGGAAAGGCCCAUGGAAAGGAAUUUUAAAGAACAAUUGUUUUUCCGAUUUCAUUGCAUGAGAUUUAAUUCCUUACAAGAUGCAUCUUGAUAACAAGCCUCCUCUUAUUGUUUGUUUUGUUUUGUGAAUCGGGGUUUCUUUGUGUAGUCCUGGCUAUCCUGUAACUCACCCUGAAGACCAGGCUAGCCUCAAACUCAGAGAUUCAGGCUUUUCUCUGCCUCCACGUGCUGGGAUUAAAGGUGUGUGCCCCCACUGCACGCCCGAUCUUUCUCUUUCUAAGAAACAUUGAGUGUAGUUAUCUGGACAGACUGAUGCCUCUUACAGUCCAAACUAAAAUCUGUUAACUUUUUGAGUGAUGAACCAGACUUAGUCCACCCCAGUCUUUCAGUGCUUUAUCUGUAGUUCGCUGUGGUCCUGGCCAUCACUAUGUAAAAGGAAUAAGAUACUCAAAUGCUCCUUACUCUACAAAAUGGCAAACUGAAGAAGAAUAAGGUGCACGCACACCCUUCAAAGGCAGUGCAGUCGUCGAGUGUUGAAAAUGUGUUGGAGUGUCUGUCCAGUGUCAUGGCACUUUGAGGUACUGAGUCCCUAACAUCACAGUUGUACACUGUGUCAUCACCCAAGUCACAUGUCUAGACUGGCAGGUAAAGAGAAAGUGAGAACAAACAAGGGAUCCACAAGGCAAUGCAUUACUAGAAACUCAGAAUUCAGGAGCAAAGACCCUGGUGAUGGUUGUGAUGGAGAAGAACGGGAUGAAGAGACCAAGGGGCAGCCAAGCCUGUGUCCUCAAGUAGGUUCGUGGUACAUGGAAAAACAGCUACAAAGAGGGACACAAACUGAAGCAAGAUUGCAGGUUACCAGGGUGAGAUCCGGUCUAGCCAGGAUCUCUUGAAGCAGUGCCUUGUGCUUUUCUGAGCCAUCCUUCUUGGAAAGAAUGUAUAGUUUUGGGUUUGUUAGUGAGGUAGAAUGAAGCAGUAGGCAUUCCCAGGCUGUGGGAGGCCCUGGGCUUCCUCUGCACACCACAAGGAAUAAGAAGGGCUGUAGCGCCUUCAAGUUUCUUCCCAGUCAGGAGGCUCAAUCCUUUUUCUCCGUUUGCGUUUGUUCAGGAUGUAUGCUUGUCUGGUGUCUUAAAUGCCCAAUCUGUAAGUCUGUAGUACAUUUCAAAUUGUACUUUAUUGUACACAUUUAAAUCUCUUUGGGAAGAGCUUCAAAAUUAAAACCAAAAUCACCCAUAGAUGUUAAAGAGUGACUGCUUGGUAAGACUAUAUGGAACCAAGGUUUCUAUUAAGAAAGUGCUUUGGGCUGGGCGUGUUGGCCCACACCUUUAAUCCCAGCACUCAGGAGGCAGAGGCAGAGUCAGAGGCAGGUGGAUCUCUAAGUUUGAGGUCAGCCUGAUCUACAGAGUAAGUUCCAGGACAGCCAGAACUGCAUGGUGAGACACUGUCUCUAUGCUCAAAUGAAAAAAAUGAAAGAAAGAGGGGAAUUGUUUUGGGUAAAUGUGUACAUGUUAUUGCUUAAGUACAAGGUAAGAGGAGAGUGCCUAAAAGCCUCUGCUACCAUCCGUCAAUUUUAGGAGCUUUGACACCAUAUAGGUCCCUUUGAGAAGGGCCUCCCCAGUCUGAGCUAGGCAAGCACUCUGCGGAGGAUACUCCCGGAGAGUCCUCAGCUAGGCCUGGAACUUGCAUUCCUCUGGCCUCAACCCUUUGAAUAUCUGCUGUUAGAAGACUGUGUCUUCAAAAUGGGUGAGCUGUUUUUAAACUUCCAGGAAUCAGACUUACUCAGAGUGGCUAUGAAAUGCAAUAAAAUUAAGAUACCCAUGAUUUUAUACUUAGUGUUGUUUCCAGUAGCCCCAUAGCCAUGGUGUAUCUUCACAGGCACAGGUUCUCCUUCUGGCUAGCCAAUCACUGUUUCAUCAUUUUCAGUUCUCACUUCUCUUUGACAUUUAAAAAGAUUCCACUUUUUAAAGGCCUCCAAGCUAAUUUAGCUCCUCCAGCCCCUCACUCCUGCUCCACUGAGAAUGUUUCUCUCCUUAGCCUUCACCACUGGGGAGCAGUGGACAUAUCCUUCUGUCAGUUCCCCCAUGAUCUUAUCAGAGACCCUCUGCUGUCCGACUAUUAGCAGUCUAAGAAGCUUUUGACAACUAUUAGCCUACAGCUCUCACCCCACCUAACCUCUGUGCUCAUGACACAGUGUCUGCGGCUCCAGAUGCUGGACUCCAUCUUGGUCCUGGGUCUGUCAUCUGCUGGGCACCUCUCUUCAAAGAUAAUAGCCCCUGGCACACUGCCCUGCACCUCGGGACUCUCCAUUGCCUGGGCAUAGGUGUCUGACUUUGACUGCCCUCCUCUGUCUCCUUCCUGAGCCACCUCUCUCUCAGUCCUCAUUGCGACUCACAGCAUCUCUCCUGCCCCAGCUAACCCACGCAUGAAGGCACUGUUCUAACAGUGCCGUCUGUCCUCUUAGGCCGUCUGUCCUCUUAGGCCAGGUAGACCAUCCUCAUGUCCUCCUCUCUGGCGCUCUUCCUUCUUGAAAAUCCAUAGAUCCCAGUUGGUUCUGUGGUGUUUGCUUGUUUAACCUACGCCCGUCUCCGUGUUCUUUAUAGUUUCUAUAAUUAUUUACUUAUUUGUUUGUUUGUUUUGUAGGCAUGAGUUUACUGUGUUGUGCUGGUCGUCCUAGAACUCAGAGAGAGUCGCCUACCUCUGUCUCCUGAGUAAAAGCUGCGGUGUCCUCACUCUCCUCUCCAUAGUGCACCCCUGAAGAUCCAGCUCCAAAUGCAGUUACGCUGAGGACCGAGUUUCCAGCACAAGAGCUUUGGAGGUGACAGGAUCACUCAAGCCAUGGUGGUUGC